rnacentral:rRNA from 1 species
GAUGAACGCUAGCGGCAGGCCUAAUACAUGCAAGUCGAACGGGAUCUGAGGGUAGCUUGCUACCCGAUUUGAGAGUGGCGCACGGGUGCGUAACGCGUGAGCAACCUACCCAUAUCAGGGGGAUAGCCCGAAGAAAUUCGGAUUAACACCGCAUAAUAAUACGCUAACACAUGUUGAUGUAUUUAAAUAUUUAUAGGAUAUGGAUGGGCUCGCGUGACAUUAGCUAGUUGGUAAGGUAACGGCUUACCAAGGCGACGAUGUCUAGGGGCUCUGAGAGGAGAAUCCCCCACACUGGUACUGAGACACGGACCAGACUCCUACGGGAGGCAGCAGUAAGGAAUAUUGGUCAAUGGGCGCAAGCCUGAACCAGCCAUGCUGCGUGCAGGAUGACUGCCCUAUGGGUUGUAAACUGCUUUUGUUAGGGAAUAAACCUUCUUACGUGUAAGGAGCUGAAUGUACCUAAAGAAUAAGGAUCGGCUAACUCCGUGCCAGCAGCCGCCGUAA